rnacentral:rRNA from 1 species
GAUGAACGCUGGCGGCGUGCCUAAUACAUGCAAGUCGAGCGAACAGACGAGGAGCUUGCUCCUCUGACGUUAGCGGCGGACGGGUGAGUAACACGUGGAUAACCUACCUAUAAGACUGGGAUAACUUCGGGAAACCGGAGCUAAUACCGGAUAAUAUAUUGAACCGCAUGGUUCAAUAGUGAAAGACGGUUUUGCUGUCACUUAUGGAUGGAUCCGCGCCGCAUUAGCUAGUUGGUAAGGUAACGGCUUACCAAGGCAACGAUGCGUAGCCGACCUGAGAGGGUGAUCGGCCACACUGGAACUGGGACACGGUCCAGACUCCUACGGGAGGCAGCAGUAGGGAAUCUUCCGCAAUGGGCGAAAGCCUGACGGAGCAACGCCGCGUGAGUGAUGAAGGUCUUCGGAUCGUAAAACUCUGUUAUUAGGGAAGAACAAAUGUGUAAGUAACUAUGCACGUCUUGACGGUACCUAAUCAGAAAGCCACGGCUAACUACGUG